AACGAACGCUGGCGGCAGGCCUAACACAUGCAAGUCGAGCGCCCCGCAAGGGGAGCGGCAGACGGGUGAGUAACGCGUGGGAAUCUACCUAGUGGUACGGAAUAGCCCAGGGAAACUUGGAGUAAUACCGUAUAAGCCCGAAAGGGGAAAGAUUUAUCGCCAUUAGAUGAGCCCGCGUUGGAUUAGCUAGUUGGUGGGGUAAAAGCCCACAAGGCGACGAUCCAUAGCUGGUCUGAGAGGAUGAUCAGCCACACUGGGACUGAGACACGGCCCAGACUCCUACGGGAGGCAGCAGUGGGGAAUAUUGGACAAUGGGCGCAAGCCUGAUCCAGCCAUGCCGCGUGAGUGACGAAGGUCUUCGGAUUGUAAAGCUCUUUUGGCGGGGACGAUAAUGACGGUACCCGCAGAAUAAGCCCGGCUAACUUCGUG
rnacentral:rRNA from 1 species